AUAACACUGCUAAAUGUGUUUUUGUGUAUAUAGAAUUGCAUUCAUUUCCUCUUCUUUUAGUAGUUACAUAGCUUGAGGUCUGUAUAUUCUUUUGAAUAGGAUGUACUGUUCUAUGCAGAAGAUCUGAUUUGCACAAACAUAGUUAUCUGCAUGUGUUGCCUGACUUGGUAUUUGUUAUAUCCUGUUGGUUGAAUGGAUGGUGGUGCCACUAUAGUGGUAACAGUGGUAGUUUAUUCAGGUUGCUGUGAGGUUAAUCCCUUUGGCAACAUUCUUUGAGAAUUUUGUAAUGCCUCCUUUGGGGUGCUGAUACACUAUUACACAUGUUCUAUGGUAUGUGAGUUGAUGUUGUUGCUGCAAGCAUUGAUACAAUAUGUCAUGUGCAGGGAGCUCCGCAUUUGAGUCUCGGCCACCCUCCACAGCAAGGAGCUCGGCCAAGGGAGCAAGCAGCGCUACUGGUUUCUUGAGGCCGGAUCGUGUAAGAUGGUGCACCAUGGCGUGCGGCGGCCUAUUCUGUCAUAGUGGUAUUUUAUAUGGUCUCAUCCAGCACUGAGUAUCAAUAUGUUGUUUUAAUCCUGAUGAUGGUGUUGUAGCAUAAAGUGGUUACUUGUCUGAUGCACAUUGUUCUUUGCAGGGUUAUGAUAUUUCCAAGGAAAUAUACUUACCCUGAUGUGGCUAAGGUGCCCAUUUGCCCUUUCUGAAACAAUUUUACUUCGUUUUGUGUUCUUGUAUGUCCAGUUUCACAUUGCUGGUAUUUCAUGCCAUAUUCAUCAAUCCUGCUCACAUUGCUCGUGUUUUUUCAGUAGCAAAUAAACAAAUAAAGUAAAUGUACUAUAUCUUGGUAUUCUAGAACUUCAGUGCCUCAUAGAAGUUGCUUUAUGUCCUCUUUAGCUUGCAAACCUGAUGAUUUGUUGUCUGUUCUCAUUUCUUAAGUUUGAAAUGUUUCAAACUCUCAUGUGCCCCCAUCCUCAACUAGAUUUGUAUGCACCUUAGUAUAAUAAAUACAUUGGUCAUGUAAAUAUCAUUGGGAACUAUAUCUGUGUCCAUAUGCUUUUGCCAGCAUUAAAUGGUGUAAGUAGAGGUUAGAAAUGCAGAACUGUGAUGUUGUGCUGGGAGCACCUUUGCUACAGUCAUGGGUUAGGUUUCAGCUUCACAUCUUCUCAGGUUUAACUAUUGGUUUACAUUGAAACUAUAGCAAGUGUCAAAUGAAUGCAUAGUGUGCAAUUUGGCUAGUAAUCUAGGCGCGCAUAAGUAUCAGGCCAUAUGUUUUCUUAUAAGCAAACUAUACUGAUGGUUGUAAGAUGAGUUAAAAUUAUACUAGUGCUAUCGUGAUUUUCAUAUUAAAUGUCAUUCAUUUAUUAGUUUGAUGUUCUAUAUGCUUCUAAUGCGUGAUCCUUUCAAUGCUAGGUGAUUUGAUUUUCAGAAGUUGGAAGAGGAAGACGAUGAAGCAUGGUGUUUUUCUAUCAAUCUGCCUCUUGUUCUGGUUGUACUCUGUAGCUAGUUAUAUUGUAAUCGGUAUUAGUCAGCACAUCUAUUUCUAUGAAUACCAUGUAAAGACUGUAAUAGGCUGAUUUUGCAUAUCAUUUCGAGAAUUUAGUUCUGUUCCAUUUAAAAUAUUUGUCGUUGUACUGUGAAAACGUGAGAAGUAGAAAGUUGGCAAGUUGGACCAACUUAAUGAAAAAGGUGAAGUCCCCAAAAGUAAAUGGACUGUAAAAUGGCUGAGGCCCAAACAAUAAUUGGGCGAAUUGGGCUAGAAUUG
rnacentral:lncRNA from 1 species